rnacentral:rRNA from 1 species
UACGUAGGGACCGAGCGUUGUCCGGAAUCAUUGGGCGUAAAGAGCGUGUAGGCGGCCACUUAAGUCCUGCGUGAAAUCUUGCGGCUCAACCGCAAGCGGUCGUGGGAAACUGGGUGGCUAGAGUGCGGGAGAGGAGAGUGGAAUUCCUGGUGUAGCGGUGGAAUGCGCAGAUAUCAGGAAGAACACCCGUGGCGAAGGCGGCUCUCUGGACAGUUCCUGACGCUGAGGCACGAAGGUCAGGGGAGCAAACGGG